AGUAGUUCUCCCUGGAUUGAGUGAGGAUUUAGUGACUGUAGUUCCCAGGUGCCAUGCUGCCCAACAUCAGACAGCCCAGGGACAUAGAGAGGAACACAGAAGCUUUCAGAAAGCCACAGGGCCAGCCGGUUUGAUCCCAGCUCUGGCUCUGGGAGCUAUAGUUUCAGGGCAGAACUCUGAGUCUAAAUGAAUGAGAGAGCCAAAGCUUAGCCAGAGUUCUGAAGUGACCUAAUGACACCACACCCUUGACAUGUUACAGAGCUCCUUCCUGUUUCCAGUGACACCCCUCACCAGUGACACUCCUCACCAAAGCUGCCACCCUGACCCUGGGCAGCUCCCCACCAAGUCUUCCAUCUCACUUACCCCCGGAUGAAGCAGGGCACAGGGUCUCCGGGCUUGAGCUGGCUUAGCCACGUGGAGCAGACUCCAUAGUGCAGGGGGCCCAGCCCAUCUGGGGGUGGGAAGGAGAGGCCGGUGAGGGGCCAGAGAGGGGCCGGUCCCAACCCUGCUGUGGCCAGGCCUGCUCCUGCUUGUUGCCUCACCCUGAGUCCUGUAUGCCAGCACAGCUACAGUGAGGUGGAUCUCUCCUGGGUGGGUGCUGGGUGCCGAGCUGACUGAGUAGUACCGGGGCUGGAGCAGAGGCAGCUGGGUGAGGAGCAGUGGGGCAGGCAGCGCCACCGACGGGAACUGCUCCAGCACCUCCAGCAGCGUGGGGCAGCGGAACCACUUCCACUCCUCGUAGCGUCGGGGAUCCUGGCGGGGCAGGAUGCAGUGGGUUGGAGGCCCCAUAGCCCUUCCUAGUAACCUCCCUUCUUGACCCCUCCCCCACUGAGCCUCUUUAGGGUUUCUCCCUGCUCAGUUCAGGCCAAUAGAGUUUUCUCUAAGACCUGGAGAAUCCAGCCAUGAAUUCCUCCCUGAGGAGCUGGGUCUUAAAGCACCAGUGCAUGUCGGCCAGGAGAAGAAAGUCCAGGGGGGACUUUGCAUGGGGGUUUCCUGCCACUGGGGUCCCCCCAGCUCAUCCCGUCUCUCUAGCCCCUGUGCCUCAUUGGGGUGGCCCCCAACCUGGCUGAGGGCCUCCAGCUCCUGCUGUUCCCUGGGCUCUUCUGCCAAGGUGCUGAGCAGCCGCAAGAGCUGAGGGCUGGGUGGGGAGGUGAUGUCCAGGAAGAAGGUGAGAGCCUGGCGCAGCGUGCACGGGGGCAGCCGGGGGUCCCGCACCCAGCCGGGGGGAGGGCCACCUGGGGAUAGUGCACAGGGAGCUCUGAGGACAGGGCCCAGCAGGACUGCAGUACCUGGGCUGAUGUUUGUGUUUUGGUGACUGUUAGAGAGCCUGCCCUUGAGCAGCGGGGUCGGCCUGUCUAGGUAGCCUCAGUGUAUUGUUCGGGGGCCCCUGGCCGGACUGGGUUGGUCUGGGCUCCUCUGCCUCUGACUCCACCCCCUUAUUUUAAAUAAAGCCCAGGCAUUGAUGUGGCAGCAAAUAGCCCCAGUGCCAGCUCCAGAGCAAGCUAGAUUGCUAGGGGAGCCUCGGAGAGGAGCCCAGAGGGAGGGGACAGCCUUUUGGUGGGGGUGCAUUUGAGGGUGUGGGGAUGGUCCAGCAACAAGGCCAGCCCGGCAGUGGGCAGCACAGCCAGCUCUGAGCCUGCCUGCUGAGCUGUGGAGGAGGUGGCCACCCCCUGGGUCGGGUCCUGAGCUCCUGGAGGCCUGGGGCCGGGGGUGGGGCUGGGCAUGGGGCUGGUGUGCCCUGUUGCUUCCCAGGCUGCCCCUCACCAGGGCUGCCCUUCUCCAGCUGCUCUACUGCCACGGGCUCAGUGGGCGCCGGCGGGUCCUCCACGCGGCUCAGCAGCGCCUCCACAAGGCCGGGCCGGUUGGGCGGGCAGACACCUAUGUGGUCCCCCGGCUGGUACUGCAGCCCCUCCUGGCCUCCGGUGUCCAGGCGCACCAGGAUGGUGGCCCUCCUGGGGGUGGGGAGAGGGGCACUUAUGGGGAGUCAGAGAGGGGUGGGGGCGGGAGAAUGUGGGAGGAGGAGGGUCCAGGGUCAGGGUGUUCAGGACAGGGGUGGGGGGGCGGUAAAGCCGUCGUCCUCACGUGGACUUGCUGCUUUGCAGGUUUUCCACUGAGCGGAUUGUAGCCUGGAACAUCUUCCGCCUGUGCACGUGGAUCAGACCUGGGGGCGGGGAGGGGCAAAUGAGGCAGCCUGAGCUAGGGAGCAGGGCCUGGCCCCAGAGUGCUUUAGUCCCGGGGUGUGGGGGCCUCAGAGAACCAGCCGGGUUAGGGUGAGGGCAGGGCCCACCUGGCAGCAACUGCAGGCCCUCGGCCUGGGCGCUCAGCCGGUACCUCUGGCGCUUCCAGCUCCGUUUGGGGCUGAAGAUGUCUCGGGCGGCGGCCUUGGCAUCCUCUCCCACACAGAAGGUCUCACAGGCGGCCUGCGGGACAGGCCGGUGAGGGCUGAGGACCUCCCGCCACCAGGGGUCGCCCUAGUGAGGCGCCUGGGCGGCUUCACUGCGUCUUGCUCCUGGGGGGUUGGCAGCCCCAGUGGCUGAGGCCGGCGCC
rnacentral:lncRNA from 1 species